UACGAAGGGGCUAGCGUUGUUCGGAUUUACUGGGCGUAAAGCGCACGUAGGCGGAUCGAUCAGUCAGGGGUGAAAUCCCAGAGCUCAACUCUGGAACUGCCUUUGAUACUGUCGAUCUGGAGUAUGGAAGAGGUGAGUGGAAUUCCGAGUGUAGAGGUGAAAUUCGUAGAUAUUCGCAAGAACACCAGUGGCGAAGGCGCUCACUGGCCCGGUACUGACGCUGAGGCACGAAAGCGUGGGGAGCAAACAGG
rnacentral:rRNA from 1 species